rnacentral:lncRNA from 1 species
CCGAGCUCUUUGGCGACCCUUAAUCCUGCAAUCAGAGCUUCAUAUUCCGCUCCGUUGUUUGUUGCGGGGAACUCGAAACGUAGAGCGUAUUCCGCGAUGACUCCCUCAGGGCUGACCAAGAUCAGUCCUACACCCACGCCCGUCGUGUUGGAAGAUCCAUCCACAUAGAGGGUCCAAAAGCAAUCGGAGGGACUGGCUUCUUCGUUGGGGGAGUUCGGUCG